rnacentral:rRNA from 1 species
AUUGAACGCUGGCGGCAUGCCUUACACAUGCAAGUCGAACGGUAACAGGUCUUCGGAUGCUGACGAGUGGCGAACGGGUGAGUAAUAUUUCGGAACGUGCCUAGUAGUGGGGGAUAACUACUCGAAAGAGUGGCUAAUACCGCAUGAGAUCUACGGAUGAAAGCAGGGGGUCGCAAGACCUUGUGCUACUAGAGCGGCCGAUGGCAGAUUAGGUAGUUGGUGGGAUAAAAGCUUACCAAGCCGACGAUCUGUAGCUGGUCUGAGAGGACGAUCAGCCACACUGGGACUGAGACACGGCCCAGACUCCUACGGGAGGCAGCAGUGGGGAAUUUUGGACAAUGGGCGCAAGCCUGAUCCAGCAAUGCCGCGUGCAGGAUGAAGGCCUUCGGGUUGUAAACUGCUUUUGUACGGAACGAAAAGCCCUGGGUUAAUACCCUGGGGUCAUGACGGUACCGUAAGAAUAAGCACCGGCUAACUACGUGCCAGCAGCCGCCGUAAGAC